rnacentral:rRNA from 1 species
UACGUAGGGUGCAAGCGUUGUCCGGAAUUAUUGGGCGUAAAGAGCUCGUAGGCGGUCUGUCGCGUCGGCUGUGAAAACCCGGGGCUCAACCCCGGGCCUGCAGUCGAUACGGGCAGACUAGAGUGCGGUAGGGGAGACUGGAAUUCCUGGUGUAGCGGUGAACUGCGCAGAUAUCAGGAGGAACACCGGUGGCGAAGGCGGGUCUCUGGGCCGUAACUGACGCUGAGGAGCGAAAGCGUGGGGAGCGAACAGG